rnacentral:rRNA from 1 species
CGGUUGAUCCUGCCGGAGGCCACUGCUAUGGGGGUCCGACUAAGCCAUGCGAGUCAUGGGGCGCGCUCUGCGCGCACCGGCGGACGGCUCAGUAACACGUCGGUAACCUACCCUCGGGAGGGGGAUAACCCCGGGAAACUGGGGCUAAUCCCCCAUAGGCCUGAGGUACUGGAAGGUCCUCAGGCCGAAAGGGGCUCUGCCCGCCCGAGGAUGGGCCGGCGGCCGAUUAGGUAGUUGGUGGGGUAACGGCCCACCAAGCCGAAGAUCGGUACGGGCCAUGAGAGUGGGAGCCCGGAGAUGGACACUGAGACACGGGUCCAGGCCCUACGGGGCGCAGCAGGCGCGAAACCUCCGCAAUGCGGGAAACCGCGACGGGGGGACCCCCAGUGCCGUGGCAUCGCCACGGCUUUUCCGGAGUGUAAAGAGCUCCGGGAAUAAGGGCUGGGCAAGGCCGGUGGCAGCCGCCGCGGUAAUACCGGCGGCCCGAGUGGUGGCCGCUAUUAUUGGGCCUAAAGCGUCCGUAGCCGGGCCCGUAAGUCCCUGGCGAAAUCUCACGGCUCAACCGUGGGGCUUGCUGGGGAUACUGCGGGCCUUGGGACCGGGAGAGGCCGGGGGUACCCCUGGGGUAGGGGUGAAAUCCUGUAAUCCCAGGGGGACCGCCAGUGGCGAAGG